ACGGUGCUUAGGCUCCUCUGGGCUCGCCUGCGCCACUCACGCGCCACACACUCCGCCAUCAUAAGCCGCCAUCAUGGUAAAGCUCGCAAAGGCCGGUAAAAAUCAAGGUGACUGCAAGAAAAUGGCUCCUCCCCCAAAGGAGGUAGAAGAAGAUAGUGAAGAUGAGGAAAUGUCAGAAGAUGAAGACGAUGAGAGCAGUGGAGAAGAGGUUGUUAUCCCUCAGAAAAAAGGCAAGAAGGCUACCACGACUCCAGCAAAGAAGAUGAUGGUUUCCCCAACAAAAAAGGUUGCAGUGCCACAUCGGCAAAGAAAGCAGUUGUCACCCCUGGCAAAAAGGCAGCAGCUAUGCCGGCCAAGAAGACAGUUACACCUGCCAAAGCAGUGGUAACACCUGGCAAAAAGGGAGCCACCCCAGGCAAAGCAUUGGUGGCAACCUCUGGUAGGAAGGGAGCAGCUGCCUCAGGCAAGGGAGCAAAGAACGGCAAGAAUGCCAAGAAGGAAGACAGUGAUGAAGAAGAGGAAGGUGACAGUGAAGAGGAAGACGAGGAAGAUGAAGAGGAGGAUGAACCAGCAGUGAGGAAGGCAGCUGCUGCUUUUGGUGCUGCUCCUGCCACAGAUGAUGAGGAUGACGAGGAUGAGGAUGAUGAUGACGAUGAUGAGGAGGACGAAGAUGACUCUGAAGAAGAACCUAUGGAGAUUGUGCCAGCCAAAGGAAAGAAAGCUCCAGUAAAAGCUGUUCCUGUGAAGGCCAAGAGAGCUGCUGAAGAUGAAGAUGAAGAGGAUGAUGAUGAAGAGGAUGACGACGAUGAAGAGGAGGACGACAAUGAGGAGGAGGAGGAAGAAGAGCCUGUCAAAGAAGCACCUGGAAAACGAAAGAAGGAAAUGGCCAAACAAAAAUUUGUAGACUUCAAUAGUGAGGAAGAUGCCAAAGCUGCCAAGGAGGCCAUGGAAGAUGGUGAAAUCGAUGGAAACAAAGUCACUUUAGACUGGGCCAAACCUAAGGGUGAAGGUGGCUUUGGAGGCCGAGGUGGUGGCCGAGGUGGCCGAGGUGGAUUUGGUGGCAGAGGCCGAGGAGGCUUUGGAGGGCGAGGAGGCUUCCGAGGAGGCGGCGGAGGAGGAGGAGACCACAAGCCACAAGGAAAGAAGACGAAGUUUGAAUAGUUUCUUCUAUCCCUGUCUCUCCCUCUUCCAUUUGAAAGAAAGGACUCUGGGGUUUUUACUCUGUUACCUGAUCAAUGACAGAGCCUUCUGAGGACAUUCCAAGACAGUAUACAGCCCUGUGGUCUACUUGGAAAUCCGUAUAGAUAACAUUUCAAGGGAGAUAACCCUGUUGGUGUUGACUGGAUAUUCGUAUAAACUUUUUAAAGAGAUGAGUGAUAGAGCUAACCCUUAUCUGUAAGUUUUGAAUUUAUAUUGUUUCUUCCCAUGUACAAAACCGUUUUUUUCCUACGGAGUUUUUUUUGUUUUGUUUUGUUUUUUUGCGUUGGGGGGUGUAAAGGAAAGCAGAAUGUUUUAUCAUGAUUUUUGCUUCAGCAAUUUUGGGACAAAUUAAAAGUCCUAGAACUCU